rnacentral:rRNA from 1 species
AUUGAACGCUGGCGGCAGGCCUAACACAUGCAAGUCGAGCGAGCGGCGGACGGGUGAGUAAUGUAUGGGGAUCUGCCUGAUGGCGGGGGAUAACUACUGGAAACGAUAGCUAAUACCGCAUACCAUCAGAUGAACCCAUAUGGGAUUAGCUAGUAGGUGAGGUAACGGCUGACCUAGGCGACGCUCCCUAGCUGGUCUGAGAGGAUGAUCAGCCCCACUGGGAAUGGGACACGGCCCAGCCUCCUCCGGGAGGCAGCGGUGGAGACUAGUGCACAAUGGGGGCGAGCCUGAUGCAGACGUGCCGUGUGUAUGAAGAAGGCCUUCGGGUUGUAAAGUACUUGCAGUCGGGAGGCGGUACCUACAGAAGAAGCACCGGCUAACUCCGUGCCAGCAGCCGCGGUAAUAC